GUACUUGGUAUGCAGUAUAUAUACUAUAAUUAGCCAAGACAAAAAAGAUUAACACGACGCUUGUGCAAGAAUAACUUGUGAAUUCGUGAAAUAUUCCAUCUUUUU
ensembl:snRNA U6 U6 spliceosomal RNA